AACGAACGCUGGCGGCAGGCCUAACACAUGCAAGUCGAGCGCGCCCUUCGGGGUUAGCGGCGGACGGGUGAGUAACGCGUGGGAACGUGCCCUUCUCUGCGGAAUAGCCUCGGGAAACUGAGCGUAAUACCGCAUACGCCCUUUGGGGGAAAGAUUUAUCGGGGCAGGAUCGGCCCGCGUUGGAUUAGGUAGUUGGUGGGGUAAUGGCCCGCCAAGCCGACGAUGCAUAGCUGGUUGGAGAGGAUGAUCAGCCACACUGGGACUGAGACACGGCCCAGACUCCUACGGGAGGCAGCAGUGGGGAAUCUUAGACAAUGGGGGCAACCCUGAUCUAGCCAUGCCGCGUGAGUGAUGAAGGCCUUAGGGUUGUAAAGCUCUUUCAGCUGGGAAGAUAAUGACGGUACCAGCAGAAGAAGCCCCGGCUAACUCCGUG
rnacentral:rRNA from 1 species